ensembl:lncRNA
UGUAAAUUGCUUCAGAGAAUUCUACCACUCCUGCACUUCCAGAGAAAAAAAUAUUUUCUGAUUGGGCAUCAUGUUACAGACAAACGUCUUUCCACGUGUUUGUAUGUACAUCUUGGGAGCUUGGAGCACCAUACAUGGGCCUCGUUGCAUUCUCACAACAAUCCUGUGAGGAGAAUGCUGAGAUUUGGAGGAAGCUGAAUUCUAUGCCCAGUUCCACAAACUACACCCCCCCCCCGUGCCCUUUCAGCAUCACAUCAUCCUUGAGCCAAAGGCGGAAGGGAUUUAGGAAGGAAGACAGGAGAUCUACGUUCACAGAAAGCUUUUGGCUCCUCGGUGGUCUUCCCUCUAUGCAGGUUACAGGACCAAACCUGCUUAACUUGCACCAUCAUGCGCCUUGAGGCCAUUCUUUCUUGUAAGAAUGAUUUCAAGCGGAAGCAAAAGGCUGUACUCCCAUUGUGGACACAAUCAAGCAAAGGUUAGUCAAAAGUUAUUGAUGGAAGCAACAGAAUAAUAAAUCAGGCCUUAGUCACCACUAAUGUUUUUCUGUAUAUACCUGUUUGCGGUAUCCAGUUAAAAUCACUUCCAGUGUUUCAUUCUUGAACCUUGUUCUUAUAUAAUUUCCCACUGAAAUUAAGGGGGAUUUAAAGCGCUUAAUUGUGACUCGAUCAAUAUUACUUUUGGUUUUUGGGACGCGGGUGGCGCUGUGGGUAAAAGCCUCAGCGCCUAGGGCUUGCCGAUCGAAAGGUCGGCGGUUCGAAUCCCCGCGGCGGGGUGCGCUCCCGCUGCUCAGUCCCAGCGCCUGCCAACCUAGCAGUUCGAAAGCACCCCUGGGUGCAAGUAGAUAAAUAGGGACCACUUACUAGCGGGAAGGUAAACGGCAUUCCGUGUGCUGCGCUGGCUCACCAGAUGCAGCUUGUCACGCUGGCCACGUGACCCGGAAGUGUCUUCGGACAGCGCUGGCCCCCGGCCUAUAGAGUGAGAUGGGCGCACAACCCUAGAGUCUGUCAAGACUGGCCCGUACGGGCAGGGGUACCUUUACCUUUACCUUAGUAAAACCUCCAGAACCAAGUUUUAACGAUAAUAUUACCCGGCAGCUAUUCAACAUUUUUCCUAAGUGCUGAAGGUUUACAUAA